AUGCGUUACGUUCAGCUCAGAUGCAAACCAGGCUACCAGGCUACUGCUGCCACGGCUUUGUCUACACGAGAAAAUCAACGGCAACAACUUUAUCACUUGACGCAGUUCACAUCGUCGUUCCCGGGGUUAUGUGGCAGCGUCAACAUCGCCGCAGCUGUUAUUUCUGUCCUACGCACAAGAGGGACCAUGUCAAAGCUCUACAACCCAGUCACUGCCUGUCUCAAGAAGCCAAUGCGUGAAGAUACGUCGACCGGGGACAGCGACAAAAAGAAUGAUGAAAACAAGUCUCCAGCAUCAAGUCCAACCAGCGGAGAGGCUCCCACAGGUUGGAUGAGAAGCAUAACGUCGGGAUUAUACAAUGCCAGUGUCGGAAGUGUCAAAUGGGUUGCAACGACCACCUACAACGUUGGAUCUGGUGUUGUCAGCACAGGAUCCAGCCUGGCCCAAAAGGCAGUCCGCAAAGAAAGCAAAAGCAAGAACGAGUGAUCUCUACACAGUUGUAUCCUCACACAACAAAACAAAAAUAAUCAGGGGCAGGUUUGCAAGUACACAUUGCAGCUGCGGAGCAACACACGAGACUAUGCGGCGAGCAGCAAGUCAAUGUUCCAUCCAGUACCGACAUUCCCAUCCUUUCCUUUUCAAGGUUGCCAAAAUAGCAAGCUGUGGAUCAAUGUCUCAU